rnacentral:rRNA from 1 species
GACGAACGCUGGCGGCGUGCUUAACACAUGCAAGUCGAACGGAAAGGCCCUGCUUUCGUGGGGUGCUCGAGUGGCGAACGGGUGAGUAACACGUGAGUCACCUGCCCUUGACUUUGGGAUAACUUCAGGAAACUGGGGCUAAUACCGGAUAGGAGCUCCUGCUGCAUGGUGGGGGUCGGAACGUUUCGGCGGUUGGGGAUGGACUCUCGGCUUAUCAGCUUGUUGGUGGGGUAGUGGCUUACCAAGGCAUUGACGGGUAGCCGGCCUGAGAGGGUGACCGGCCACAUUGGGACUGAGAGACGGCCCAGACUCCUACGGGAGGCAGCGGUGGGGAAUAUUGCACAAUGAGCGGAAGCCUGAGGCAGCAACGCCGCGUGCGGGAUGACGGCCUUCGGGUUGUAAACCGCUUUCGCCUGUGACGAAGCGUGAGUGACGGUAAUGGGUAAAGAAGCACCGGCUAACUACGUG